rnacentral:tRNA from 1 species
UAGUUCAACGGAUAGAACGAAGGAUUCCGGAUCCUUUGAUGCAGGUUCGAUUCCUGC